UACGUAGGGGCCUAGCGUUGUCCGGAUUUAUUGGCGUAAAGAGCUCGUAGGCGGUUUGUCGCGUCUGCUGUGAAAACUCGGGGCUUAACUCCGGGCCUGCAGUGGGUACGGGCAGACUAGAGUGCGGUAGGGGAGACUGGAAUUCCUGGUGUAGCGGUGGAAUGCGCAGAUAUCAGGAGGAACACCGAUGGCGAAGGCAGGUCACUGGGCCGCAACUGACGCUGAGGAGCGAAAGCAUGGGGAGCGAACAGG
rnacentral:rRNA from 1 species